AGCCACGCAGUGAGCACAAAGCGAACUAUUCUUUCGCCUUUUACUAAAGAAUACCGUGUGCUUGCUGCUUCUAAGUGGCAUACGCCUAUUUUUAGAGUGUCCCUUUUCUAUUAAAGGGC
rnacentral:snRNA from 1 species